GAGCCACUGCUAUUGGGAUCCGAUUAAGCCAUGCGAGUCGAGAGGGUUCGGCCCUCGGCAGACGGCUCAGUAACACGUGGAUAAUCUACCCUUAGGUGGAGGAUAACCUCGGGAAACUGAGAAUAAUACUCCAUAGGUCUAGAAUGCUGGAAUGCAUCUAGGCUAACAAGUUCAGGCGCCUAAGGAUGAGUCUGCGGACAUCGGGUAGUAGUCAGGGUAAAGACCUGACUAGCCUACGACGGAUACGGGUUGUGAGAGCAAUUGCCCGGAGACGAUAUCUGAGACACGAUAUCGGGCCCUACGGGGCGCAGCAGGCGCGAAACCCUCACACUGUGCGAGAGCACGAUGAGGGGAUCCCAAGUGCUGGUUCGUAAGAGUCAGCUGUUUCUUUGUCUAAAAAACAGAGAGAGUAAGAGCUGGGUAAGACGGGUGCCAGCCGCCGCGGUAAUACCUGCAGCUCAAGUGGUGGCCGCUAUUAUUGGGCCUAAAACGUUCGUAGCCGGUUUAUGUAAAUGCUUGGGUAAAUUGUGUCGCUUAACGAUACGAAUACCGGGUAGACUGCUAAACUUGGGACCGGGAGAGGUUAGAGGUACUCCUGGGGUAGAGGUGAAAUUCUGUAAUCCUGGGGGGACCACCAGUGGCGAAGGCGUCUAACCAGAACGGGUCUGACGGUGAGGGACGAAGCCCUGGGGCGCAAACCGGAUUAGAUACCCGGGUAGUCCAGGGUGUAAACGCUGCUCGCUUGGAUGUUAGCUGGGCUCCGA
rnacentral:rRNA from 1 species